rnacentral:ncRNA from 1 species
GAUUAAGGUGGUGGCCAAAGCCCGGUCUUUUGUUAGGUCGCGGAGACGUCGCUGCCUUAAUCGUGGUCUGCAGCACGCGCCUUCACGGCGUGCCUCGGCAUCUGCGUGCUCCGGGCGUCGGCCUGUGGGUUCCCCAUUCGACCCGUCUUGAAACACGGACCAAGGAGUCUGACAUGUGUGCGAGUCAACGGGUGAGUAAACCCGUAAGGCGCAAGGAAGCUGAUUGGCGAGAUCCCUCACGGGUGCACCGCCGACCGACCUUGAUCUUCAGAGAAGGGUUCGAGUGUGAGCAUGCCUGUCGGGACCCGAAAGA